rnacentral:rRNA from 1 species
GAUCUCACAACUGGCCGUCGUUGUAAGAUAGCAUGCAGUCGAACGGACCUGGUCGACCAGUCAGUGGCGCAAGGGUGAGUAAGGCGACGGUAACCAACCCCAAGGUUGGGCAUAGCCGCGGGAAACUGCGGGUAAUCCCACGAUGUCGCGUCGGCAUCCGGUGCGAACCAAAGUUUCGGCGCCGUGGGACGGGCCGUCGUGGUAUAAGGUAUGUAUGGCGGGGUAACGGCCCACCAAGCCUAGUAGAUAGCCUACCGGGCGUAGCGAGCGUAGGCCCGGCACACUGGGACUGAGACACUGCCCAGACUCCUACGGGAGGCUGCAGUACGAGAAUCUUCGGCAAUGGGCGCAAGCCUAGACCGAGCGACGCCCGCGUGGAAGGAUGAAAGGCCUUCG